rnacentral:lncRNA from 13 species
AUGAGGCCUGAUGCUCGGAGGAUCCCCUCCCUAUGUGCAGGGAUGAGGCCUGAUGCUCUGAGGAUCUCCUCCCUCUGCGCAGUGAUGCUAGCUGCUCUGAGAAUUCCCUCCCUCGGUGCAGGGACACUGGCUGUUUGGAGGAUCCCCUUCCUCUGUGCAGGGAUGAGGCCUGAUGCUCGGAGGAUCUCCUCCCUCUCAGCAGGGACACUAGCCUUUGGGACAAUCCCCUCCCUGUGCGCAGGGGCGUUCGCCAUUGGGACGAUUUCCUCCUUCUGCGCAGUGACACUGGCUGUUUGGAGGAUCCCCUCCCUCCGUGCAGGGAUGAGGCCUGAUGCUCGGAGGAUCUCCUCCCUCUCAGCAGGGACACUAGCCCUUGGGACAAUCCCCUCCCUGUGCACAGGGACGCUGGCCAUUGGGACGAUUUCCUCCCUCUGCGCAGUGACACUGGCUGUUUGGAGGAUCCCCGCCCUCUGUGACGAGAUGAGGCCUGAUGAUCGUAGGAUCUCCUCCCUCUGUGCAUUGAUGCUGGCGGCUGAGAGAUUCCCCUUCCUCUGUGAAGGGACACUAGCUGUUUGGAGGAUCCCCUCCCUCCGUGCAGGGAUGACGCCUGAUGAUCGGAGGUUCUCCUCCCUCUGUGCAUUGACGCUGGCGGCUGAGAGAAUCCCCUCCCUCUGUGAAGGGACACUGGCUUUUUGGAGGAUACCCUUCCUCUGUGCAGGGAUGAGGCCUGAUGCUCUGAGGAUCUCCUCCCUCUGCGCAGUGAUGCUAGCUGCUCUGAGAAUUCCCUCCCUCGGUGCAGGGACACUGGCUGUUUGGAGGAUCCCCUUCCUCUGUGCAGGGAUGAGGCCUGAUGCUCGGAGGAUCUCCUCCCUCUCAGCAGGGACACUAGCCCUUGGGACAAUCCCCUCCCUGUGCACAGGGACGCUGGCCAUUGGGACGAUUUCCUCCCUCUGCGCAGUGACACUGGCUGUUUGGAGGAUCCCCUCCCUCUGUGACGAGAUGAGGCCUGAUGAUCGUAGGAUCUCCUCCCUCUGUGCAUUGAUGCUGGCGGCUGAGAGAUUCCCCUUCCUCUGUGAAGGGACACUAGCUGUUUGGAGGAUCCCCUCCCUCCGUGCAGGGAUGACGCCUGAUGAUCGGAGGUUCUCCUCCCUCUGUGCAUUGACGCUGGCGGCUGAGAGAAUCCCCUCCCUCUGUGAAGGGACACUGGCUUUUUGGAGGAUACCCUUCCUCUGUGAUGGGAUGAGGCCUGAUGCUUGGACGAUCUCCUUUCUCUGCACAGCAACUUCGGCUGCUGUGAUGAUCUGAAGCAGGAUCUGAAUCUCAAGCCUGCAGGAAAUCAGGUGGUUCAACAUACUGAGAUGACGAGAGGCUUCAGACCAUGCCCAUUGGACCAUCUUUAGGAUUCUUUCCCACUUAACACCAAUCUUAUUAGGAAUGUAACAUUGUGCAGAAGAUGUUACUAUAGUGUUAUUUAGAAGAAAAAAAGUGUACUUUGUCAGGCGCCAAAAGGAUGACGGGAUGUCUCCCUGCUCCAGUGAGCUCUGCUGGCAGGUCUUGCUCACUGUUGGGAGGAACGGGAGACAAAUUAGAGGAAAAAUAUCUAUGGUGGUUCAGCAAUGAAACAUUCAUGGCAUAAUGGGGAUUGUCCUUCCCUGUGAAAAGAAUAACAGCAGCUGGGGUUUACUUUCUCACUUUUAGAUAAUGUAAUACAAUCNNNNNNNNNNAAAUACACAAAUUAUAUUAAUGUUAUCUACAAUAUAUUAUAAUACCAUAAGCCUCCCUGCUGCAGGGGCAUUUCCUACUACAAUUUUAAACUGAUUUUCUUCACUUUUAUUUUGCAUCUUUGUUAAUUUUCACAUUUAUUGUGUUUGGAAUGGCACUGUUACUACAGCAUUUGAUGUAAGUAUGUAGGACAAUUACCCAUAAUGCUCACUGACUGAACAUUCAAAAUGACCAUGGCAAUUAUUGACGCAUUCACAUGCCAUCGGAAAAUUGGAACCUCAGAGUUAAAAUGAAUGUAAGUUAUUAGCGUA